rnacentral:lncRNA from 1 species
AUUUCGAUAUACACAUUUACAUUAAAUAUUCCACUCUCAUUAAUGGAGAUAAUCACUGAAAUUACAUGAAGUCAUUAUGCAGAAGUUACAAAUGAUACGAAUUUAGGCAUGUUUAGUGGAUGUGCUUGAUCAGUUUUCCUGUGGCAUGCUGUUUUAAUGACAGUGAGGAGUGCUAUAGGUGCACAAUAAUUCAUCUUCAAACUAAACUGCAGAUCUCAUGUCAUGAGAAAAUAUUUUAGUGAGAACAAUGAUCAGUGAUGCGCACUGCGACACUGUGGAUGACACUGCUGGAUUCGGUGGAACGGUCUACAUCGUCUGGUUUGAAUAGGUCCAGUGAUAAUAUCUUACUGUACAACAACAGCUGCACGGAGGUGUUGAUGGUUAUUUUGUCAGUGACGCGCCGAGUCAGACAAUAGCAGGGUUUCAGUCACGUGAUUAUGAUGACGCGGGAAGAAGGCAGAUGGAGGGCAGGAAGUAAACAUGGAGAAUACGUCUAUAGAGGAAACCGUUGCAGAAAGUCAGUAUUGUACGGAUUUAGAUCCAGUUUCAAGACAUAGAUAUAAGGAGUUAAUUAACAGGUAUGUUGGAUGUGACCCGUACCUCAUGAAGAUGAGUGAGUUUUCAGUAGAACUGAAAGAUUUACCGACAGUUGAGGCUGUUGACAUCACCAACUAUCUGGUCCUUCAGACAUCGUACUACACCAGACAGCAAAUGAAGGCCUAUAAAAGUCUGGAGGCAUACAACUUUUUUGUCAACGGGUGGGUCCACAACCUCGGUGUCAAACGGCUCCACGAUGAUCAUCGUUUGGUCUUCGCCAGAGUAAACCACUCUCAGAGGUCAAGCAAAACACCUCUGAAGACCUGA